GAGACUCUGUGCGCGUGCAUAUCAAUAAGCGGAGGAAAAGAAACUAACAAGGAUUCCCUUAGUAACGGCGAGUGAAGCGGGAAGAGCUAAAAUUUGAAAUCUUCAAGGUUCUACCUUGACGAAUUGUAGUUUAUAGAAGUGUUUUCUGUUAGUAGAGUGGCAAAAGUUCUUUGGAAUAGGACAUCAUAGAGGGUGAGAAUCCCGUAUUUGACCAUUAUUUCCAGCUGUGUGAUACACUUUCAAAGAGUCGGAUUGUUUGGGAAUGCAGUCCAAAAUGGGUGGUAAAUUUCAUCCUAAAGCUAAAUAUUGGCGAGAGACCGAUAGCGAACAAGUACCGUGAGGGAAAGAUGAAAAGAACUUUGAAAAGAGAGUUAAACAGUACGUGGAAGUUGUCAAAAGGGAAGCGUUUGACACCAGUGUUGUUUUCUCGAAAAUCAAUUAGCCGAAUGUUUGUGUUUAAGUAUUGACCUUAAUAGCUUUCUUCACUCUUUUCUUGUAACUUUUUUAAUGCACUUUUCGGUUAACAAGUCAACAUCAAUUUCUUUUGUUGUAAAAGGGUAUGAGGAAGGUGGCUUUCUUUUCGGAGAAAGUGUUUACUAGCCUUGUGCUUCUGCAAUCGGAGAGAUUGAGGUCUGCAGCGUAGAUCCUUCGGGGUUAGAUACAGUUUGUGCUAAGCUAUAGUUCUUUCAUAGACAACUUGUUGACUAUAGUCUAGUCCUGUAGCUUACUCGCUGAUGCUAUUUUACCUACGCUUAGGAUGUUGACAGCAGUAUAGACUGU
rnacentral:rRNA from 1 species